CGAUGUGACCUAUUAUUCGGAAGGGGGUCAAAAUGUGCUGUACCGGCAAAAACUCCCGAUGAACAAGCUUUGGCAGCACUUUUUUCAGUACUGGAUUAUUAAAAAAGGAAUGAUAGUAAAUAUUUUACUAUCUGCAGCUGGCAAAGUUUAUUAAGUAAAAUAUAAAAUGAACGGAUAUCUAUUUGAUUUAAAUUGUCAACAGCAAC
rnacentral:lncRNA from 1 species